rnacentral:rRNA from 1 species
UACGAAGGGGGCUAGCGUUGUUCGGAAUUACUGGGCGUAAAGCGCACGUAGGCGGUUUUCCAAGUUGGAGGUGAAAUCCCCGGGCUUAACCUGGGAACUGCCUCCAAGACUGGGAGACUCGAGUCCGAGAGAGGUGAGUGGAAUUUCCAGUGUAGAGGUGAAAUUCGUAGAUAUUGGAAAGAACACCAGUGGCGAAGGCGGCUCACUGGCUCGGUACUGACGCUGAGGAGCGACAGCGUGGGGAGCAAACAGG